rnacentral:rRNA from 1 species
AUUGAACGCUGGCGGCAUGCCUUACACAUGCAAGUCGAACGGCAGCACGGGUGCUUGCACCUGGUGGCGAGUGGCGAACGGGUGAGUAAUACAUCGGAACGUACCUUAUCGUGGGGGAUAACGCAGCGAAAGCUGUGCUAAUACCGCAUACGCCCUGAGGGGGAAAGCGGGGGAUCGCAAGACCUCGCGCGAUUAGAGCGGCCGAUGCCUGAUUAGCUUGUUGGUGGGGUAAAAGCCCACCAAGGCGACGAUCAGUAGCUAGUCUGAGAGGACGAUCAGCCAACCUGGGACUGAGACACGGCCCGGACUCCUACGGGAGGCAGCAGUGGGGAAUUUUGGACAAUGGGGGCAACCCUGAUCCAGCAAUGCCGCGUGAGUGAAGAAGGCCUUCGGGUUGUAAAGCUCUUUUGUCAGGGAAGAAACACCGGCUCUAACACAGUCCGGGAAUGACGGUACCUGAAGAAUAAGCACCGGCUAACUACGUGCCAGCCGCCGCCGUAA